rnacentral:rRNA from 1 species
UAGCCUACGGGGGGCUGCAGUGGGGAAUAUUGCACAAUGGGCGCAAGCCUGAUGCAGCCAUGCCGCGUGUAUGAAGAAGGCCUUCGGGUUGUAAAGUACUUUCAGCGGGGAGGAAGGUGUUGUGGUUAAUAACCACAGCAAUUGACGUUACCCGCAGAAGAAGCACCGGCUAACUCCGUGCCAGCAGCCGCGGUAAUACGGAGGGUGCAAGCGUUAAUCGGAAUUACUGGGCGUAAAGCGCACGCAGGCGGUCUGUCAAGUCGGAUGUGAAAUCCCCGGGCUCAACCUGGGAACUGCAUUCGAAACUGGCAGGCUAGAGUCUUGUAGAGGGGGGUAGAAUUCCAGGUGUAGCGGUGAAAUGCGUAGAGAUCUGGAGGAAUACCGGUGGCGAAGGCGGCCCCCUGGACAAAGACUGACGCUCAGGUGCGAAAGCGUGGGGAGCAAACAGGAUUAGAUACCCUAGUAGUC